UUCUCUUAUUUCUUUUUUGAUUUUGUUCUUUCAUUUGCCAUGAAUGAACUCACUUACCCAAGUUGCUUACUCUGUUAUAUCGCUCUGCUUCUAUUGUUUUUUCUGCAUUUAUCCCAUUUGUUCUGAUUAUACUUUAUAUUGUUGCUUUUAAUGUUCUGCUCAUUUUGGUGAGUUCUCUUUGAAUAUUUCCCCUCUUUCUUGGUUUUGUUAAAACAAUUACACCCAUAUGCAUCUAUAACGACCUUUGACUUUGAGUUCUGAAUUUGCUCUGCUGUGAGCUUUAUUCUGCUCAACUAUGGUUUAUAUUUCUUUUACUGCACCUGAUUAGUCACUGAUGCACUUAGGGUGUUUGAUAAUAGGACCAAAUCCUUAAAACUCAAAAAGUUACUUACUAGUGUAUUUCAUGUUCUUCUACUUUUGAGAAAUUAAAAUUCCUUCUACUACGAAUGAUGAUUGAUGAAGUCUCUACAUAACAGAUAUUCUCUGGUUUUUUAUUGUUAUAACAUUUUCAGUUUUGAUAAUUUCACAAGCAAAUUGCUAGAGGUACCGACAAAGAUGGAUCACCUCUGAUUCUGUAAAUGCAUUUGGACUGUGUAUUUAAUGAGACAUUUUCCUGAGUCAUUUUCAUUAUAGUAUUUGAUUUGAGUAAUGUGAGCACAAUAUUCAAGAAGACGAUGUUCAGAUGGUUAACAACUAAGGUUGACUUAAUUUGCUUCAGGUUCUCGGUCAGGAGUUUGUUUUGUGACUGAUGCAAGGAAAUUGUAUUAAUGUUGAAUGUGUCUUUGUACUUCUAGGAACCUGAAGAAGAAGCACAUGGACCCCCGGAUUUAUCAAUAUUUCCAAUUUUACAAGACAAGUACAACAUUUAUCAAUCAUGCAAAGGUCUUAGCUUCAGUGAAAUAGGAAGGACAAUUGCACAAUUGUAUGCUCAGCGGAAGGAAAGUCAUCGCAAGUUGAUUUCACCAACGUGAAGCCGCAGGCUCUAGCCUCCAGUUAGCUAGAGCUAUAGAUUAUUUGUUUAGCUGGUUUUUCAUUUUGGACUUAAUUCAAGAACUAGCUCAGUAAAUUGAAAGUGUAUAUUUUCUUUCUGCCACUACUAGAGUAGUCUUUACAAUUCUUUUAAGUGAACACUUCAUUUGGUUAAUUGCAAGGAAAGACAAAUGAAUAGAACCUUGUAUUCUCUAUGACUUCUGUACUUACCAAAAUCCUUUACAUUUUGUAGUUUGAGUUUGCUGGUUAUUUUGUAAUUAAAAUUGACAUAGUUAAGUUUUAGUUAAUUUUUUAUUUGUUCUUUCUUAUGUAAAUUGAAAAUUACCUGAUGUUGAGCUAUAAUGUAAUAUUGCUCAAAAUCAAUAUUUGUUGUAAACACAUAAGUUUAAAGUU